GAUGAAGAACGUAGCGAAAUGCGAUACUUGGUGUGAAUUGCAGAAUCCCGUGAACCAUCGAGUCUUUGAACGCAAGUUGCGCCCGAAGCCACUAGGCCGAGGGCACGCCUGCCUGGGCGUCACACGCCGUUGCCCCCCCAUCUACUCCUUCGGGAUUGCGGGGGGGCGGAUGAUGGCCUCCCGUGCGCCUAGCCGCGCGGUUGGCAUAAAUACCAAGUCCUCGGCGACGCACGCCACGACAAUCGGUGGUUGCGAAACCUCGGUUGCCCGUCGUGUGCGUUCGUCGCGCAUCGAGGGCUCGAAAAAAUGCUCGGCUCCGGCUGGGCUUUCAACGCGACCCCAGGUCAGGCGGGGUUCCCGCUGAAUUUAAGCAUAUCAAUAAGCGGAGGA
rnacentral:misc_RNA from 1 species